GAUGAACGCUGGCGGCGUGCCUAAUACAUGCAAGUCGAACGCUGAAGCUUGGUGCUUGCACCGAGCGGUUGAGUUGCGAACGGGAGAGUAACGCGUGGGUAACAUGCCUCUUAGCGGGGGAUAACAAUUGGAAACGAUAGCUAAUACCGCAUAAAAGACGGUAUCGGAUGAUAUUGAUGUGAAAGGUGCUAGUGCGUAACUAAGAGGUGGACCCUCGUUGUAUUAGCUAGCUGGUGAGGUAACGGCACAACAAGGAGUGGUUACAUAACCGACCUGAGAGGCUGAUCUGCCUCGCUGGUACUGGGACACGGCCCAGACCCCUACGGGAGGCAGCAGUCCGGAAUCUUCGGCAAUGGGGGCAACCCUGACCGUUCAACGCCGCGUGAGUGAAGAAGGUUUUCGGAUCGUAAAGCUCUUUUGUAAGAGAAGAUCGAGUGUGAGAGUGGAAAGUUCACACUGUGACGGUAACUGACCAGAAAGGGACGGCUAACUACGUG
rnacentral:rRNA from 1 species